UCAAAAAUAUAAUAAAUAUUGUAACUUAUACUUUUAUACCAAAACAACAAAUAAGAAAGAUAAUAAAAUAUCAUUAAGAAGUAAUUGCAAGAGUACGAUCAAUCUAAUAGUCUAUUGUCUCCUUCAUUAUUCUAAUAUCUACGAUACACCAACCCUCAUUCCUACAACAUUAGAUAAUGAAAUAUAAAUUAAAUAUGAUUUAUAUUCAGUCCUUUAUUAUUUUUAUUAUGACCAUAUUUGACUAAAUAUAUGAAUAACUAUAUUCCUUAAAAAUUAUUUGGCCAAUAUAAUAAAGUAAAUUGUCAGGUUAUAUUACUUGGCUUGCAAUUUGAAUAUUGCAUGUACAUGCUUUGGGGCUGGUUGACCGUUAAAUUUACAAAACUAACCUUUAAGUUUUAAGAGUUUAAAUGCAUGGUAAAUACUACUAAUAUGUUAUGAAUAAAAUUUAUUAUCAUUAUAAUUCCACAAUUGUUAAGAAACUUUGAAAAUAAAAUAAAAUUAAAAGAUGAGUGGAUAUGGAUAUGGAUUUAGAUAUUAAGAUAGAUCCAGAUCUGCUCCAGAUCCGUCUUAGAUCCGCACAUCGAUAUCCAAAUCCGAUCCAAAUCCAUUUUAAACCGAUCCAAAUCCGAUCCGAUUGGAUUUGGAUCACGUGGAUCUUGGAUCAGAUCCAAUCCAUUGCCAUCCCUAGUAACAGUGGCUCUCGCUUAAAAAAAUGAGCAAGCAAGCAUAGUCGAAGUCUACUAGUCUAGUACUGGUGUAACUGAAUGUGCCAUUACUUUAUUCUGUUGUCAUUACUCUUUCUAUCAUCAAGGGUGCAUGACCAACAAAUAUCAGCUGGUUAUAGUAUAAUUCCUUGAAAAUCAAGCUACCCUCUCUCCCUCUCUAAGUACUAAGCGGCCCCCGAUCUUUCCUAUUUUUCGGCGUUCAAACCGCCGCGCGGCUACUCCCCCAUCCCGAUGCCCCCGGACCGCUGGUCCCGUGGGAUGAAACGGAAACGGAAUCGGAGGCCCCGAUCAUGAGUUACGGCCCCUUCUUUACGGCCUCCGAGGCCGUGCGCUAUAGCCCCCCGGGCGCCCCUGCCGCCGACCGCACCUGCCCGAACGUGACCGCCGUGUGACGAUCGCGCCUCGUGGUCCCCCCCGGGGCAUGAACCGCCCCCCGGCAGGCCGAAACCGGCAAAACCGGCCAAACGGCCCCUGAUCUUACUCAUUUUUCGGCGUUCAAACGGCCGCGAGGCUACCCCCCCAUCCCGAUGUCCCCGGACCGCUGGUCCCAUAGGACGAAACGGAAACGGAAUCGGAGGCCCGGAUCAUCAGUUACGGCUGAAACCGCCAAAACCUACUAAGCGGCCCCCAAUCUUGCCAAUUUUUCGGCGUUCAAACCACCGCGCGGCUACCCCCCCAUCCCGAUGCCCCCGGACCGCUGGUCCCGUGGGACGAAACGGAAAUAGAAUCCGAGGAUCGGAUCAUAAGUUACUGCCGAAACUGCCGAAACCUACUAGGGGUGUUCAGAAUCCAAUCCGAUCCGCUCAAUCCGAUCCGUAUAAAUCCGAUCCGUGGAUUGGUGGAUUGGAUAUGCAUUGAAAAUUUAAAAAUCCGCAGUCGAUGGAUUGGAUAUGGAUUUACUUCUGUAAAUCCGCAGAAGCCGUGCGCUAUAGCCCCCCAGGCGCCCCCGACGCCGAACGCAUCCGCCCGAACCCGACCGAACGCGUCUGCCGUGUGCCGAUCCCGCCCCGUGGCCCCCCCGGGAAUGAACCGCCCCCCGGGGGGCCGAAACUGGCAAAACCGGCCAAACGGCCCUGAUCUUACCCAUUUUUCGGCGUUCAAACCAUCGCGCAGCUACCCCCACAUCCCGAUGCCCCCGGACCGCUGGUCCCGUGGGACGAAACGGAAACGGAAUUGGAGGCCCCGAUCAUGAGUUACGGCCCCUUCUUUGCGGCCCCCAAGGCCGUGCAAUAUAGCCCCCCGGGCGCCCCCGCCGCCGACCGCACCUGCCCGAACCCGACCGAACGCGUCCGCCGUGUGCUGAUCCCGCCCGCGGUCACCCCCCGGGGGGCCGAAACCGGCAAAACCGGCCAAACGGCGCCGACCUUACCCAUUUUUCGGCGUUCAAACCGCCGCACGGCUACCCCCCCAAUCCCGAUACCCCUGCCCGGCUGGUCCCGUCGGACGAAACAGAACCGCAAUCGGAGGCCCCGAUCAUGAGUUACGGCCGAAACCAGCAAAACUGGCAAAAACAACCCAUUAUACUUUGCGGCCCCCGAGGCCGUGUGCUAUAGCCCCCGCCCCGCCCCGGACCUCUCCCGCCCGAACCCGACCGAAAUCGUCCCCCAUGUGCCGAUCCCGCCCCGGGGUAUGAACCGCCCUCCGGGGGGCCCAAUCCGAAAAACCGGCAAAAACGGCCCCGAUCUUACCCAUUUUUCGGCCUUCAAACCGCCAGGUGGCUACCCCCCCAUCCCGAUACCCCCCCCGGCUGGUCCCGUCAGACGAAACAGAACCGCAAUCGGAGGCCCCGAUCGUGAGUUACGGCCGAAACCGGUAAAACCUGGAAAAAACGGCCCAUUUUACUUUGCGGCCCCCGAGGACGUGUACAAUAGCCCCUGCCCCGCCCCGCCCCGUCCCGGACCGCACC
rnacentral:lncRNA from 1 species